UCCUCUCAUUUUCCACGGGUCCGAGCAAAUGAGAAAUUUUAGAACACUUUGCACUCUUUUCUCUUAAGAAAAGAACUAGGAAGCUCCCUUGAGUCUUUCUCUUGAGUCCACAGGUUCACACACACUAAAAGAAAGAUAAGUCUCCAUUUUAUCUCUUAUUUGACUCUUUCAAAGCAACUACAACAAUCAAGAACUCUUUCCCUCUUUCAUUCUCAUGAGUCCAACACCAAAAGAAGGAAAAGCUCUCAACUCUUUUCUCCCUUUCACACCUAUGAGUCCAGCAACAAGGAAAAAUGUUUCUUUCAAUUCUUCUCAAGAUUUUGUACCCAACUUGAAGCUAAAGUGAUUCUAGCUCUAUCACUCCAAGAAUCCAUGUCUAGGUUAGCAGGUUUUAUUUUGGAGCAGAGGGAGUUUUAGUCGAGUUUGGAAGGAGCUAGUUUUAGUUUAUAUGUAUAGAUCCUAAAUUAGUAAUAUGAUGUUUAGAUUUGUAGUAUGGUGUAUUUUAGGAUCUAAUGAAAGUUGUGUACCUUAAAGUAUUAAGAGAUGUAUUAUGUGAAAGUGUGGAAAUUGAAUGACUGAUGGUUUAUGUUA